rnacentral:rRNA from 1 species
UACGGUAGGGCGCGAGCGUUGUCCGGAUUUAUUGGGCGUAAAGAGCUCGUAGGCGGUGUGUCGCGUCGGCCGUGAAAACCUGCAGCUUAACUGUGGGCUUGCGGUCGAUACGGGCAUCACUGGAGUUCGGCAGGGGAGACUGGAAUUCCUGGUGUAGCGGUGAAAUGCGUAGAGAUGUGGAGGAACACCUGUGGCGAAGGCGCCUUGCUGGCCGAUUUCGUGACGCUGA